UCCCUAGUGGCUUAGCUGGUAAAGAAUCUGCCUGCAAUGCGGGAGACCUGGGUUCGAUCCCUGGGUUGGGAA
rnacentral:tRNA from 1 species